rnacentral:rRNA from 1 species
UCAGGACGAACGCUGGCGGCGUGCUUAACACAUGCAAGUCGAACGAUGAACCUGGAGCUUGCUCCGGGGGAUUAGUGGCGAACGGGUGAGUAACACGUGAGUAACCUGCCCUUGACUCUGGGAUAACCUCCGGAAACGGAAGCUAAUACCGGAUACGACGUACGGAGGCAUCUCCUGUACGUGGAAAGAACUUCGGUCAAGGAUGGACUCGCGGCCUAUCAGGUAGUUGGUGAGGUAACGGCCCACCAAGCCUACGACGGGUAGCCGGCCUGAGAGGGUGACCGGCCACACUGGGACUGAGACACGGCCCAGACUCCUACGGGAGGCAGCAGUGGGGAAUAUUGCACAAUGGGCGAAAGCCUGAUGCAGCAACGCCGCGUGAGGGAUGACGGCCUUCGGGUUGUAAACCUCUUUUAGUAGGGAAGAAGCGAAAGUG